UACGUAGGUGACAAGCGUUGUCCGGAUUUACUGGGCGUAAAGAGCGCGCAGGCGGUCGAUCAAGUCGAGUGUGAAAGCCCCCGGCUCAACUGGGGAGGGUCAUUCGAAACUGAUCGACUUGAAGGCAGGAGAGGGUAGUGGAAUUCCCGGGGGAGUGGUGAAAUGCGUAGAUAUCGGGAGGAACCACAGUGGCGAAGGCGACUACCUGGCCUGUUCUUGACGCUGAGGCGGGAAAGCUAGGGGAGCAAACGGG
rnacentral:rRNA from 1 species